UUUGCUUGUACGUCAAAGUAUUUUGUCUGGAGUUCAAGCCCUAUUCCUUGUAUUAGUUUGAUUGUGUUUCCUGGAUUGUUUAUUUCCUUGUGCUUUUGGACUGCCUGUUUUUGGACUGGAUUUCGAUUCUUGCUUGCUCCCUAUUGGAUUUCCCAGUUUUAGAUCUCUGCCUGCCAAAUCACCAGCCGGAAAGAAUCUGGGUACUUCUUCUGGUUUUGACUGGCCAAUUGAAAUCUAAAUGAGCGAAAUACAACAAGGAAACAAGGUCAAACUUUCCACUGUGGCUUUGGACCAAAGAUAACAGAUGUUCAGUUACCACACACUCCUCCUCACCUGCACUUUGUUCCUCUACACUCUGUCUCUCAAUCUGAGCGUCUGGAGAGCUCGGCUCGUCAGGUGGCCAACGGAGCUCGCCGCUCUCCACCUCGGCUCCGUCCGUCGGCUCGACCACGAUGGAAGGAAGCCUCUUGGACAACUUUGGAAUCCUUUCAUGGGUAUCUGGGAACAUCUGUUUAAAGCUCAUGACUGGUUUGAAAUAAUCUAAACACACAAAUAUUUCCAGACACACCUGGAAGGAUACCGUGCCCUGAUCUGCAGCUGCUCCACCCCCGCUGAAGUCCUCCGUUCCUGGUUCCAGGGAGUUCAUCACCUCAGUCAUCCUGGAGGAAAAAACAUGGUGAUGAUCACCAAUCAAUAAACUGUAUGCACUGUGUUUCUCUACACCAUUCCCUUUGGCUUUUCAAUUGGCAGAUGUGACAAACUGAAUGUUCAAGGCUCUCUCGCCUGAUCUGAUUUAUUAUUAUUUUAUAUUACUGAAAGAUUAUGGAUUAGUACACCUUUUUGGCACCUUUAAUGAAAAAUGUCUAACACUCAGCGCCAGUGAUUUUCUUAAUGGUGUCCUGUGGAGUUUUCUUAUAAACAAAUGGAAUCCUGCAUUGUUUAAAUACAUGUUACCAAGCUAGCAAUAUUUU